GUCCAAUAAGGCCCUGGUCAAUUAGGCCCUGUAGAACAGGGCAAUGCCCAACAUGGCCUGUCAAUGGAUAGUGUACUGUUUUCUACUGGGCCAUGUAUCUCCAGGUUUUAGAUGGACUAUCACAGGACAGGUUCCUAAAGUUCAUCCCACCUGUCUCUGGGCCCAGACCUCAUGAUUUAUAUGUAGGAGAUAAAAUGAAAUACAACCUCAGGAUUCCAUUCCUUUCCAGUGACUCAUGGCCAGUGGUAGUAUAGAUCUAGAGGUAUUCCCUGAGGCUCUCUAGGAAUGCCGAAGAAUUUUCUCUUGGCUUCUGAUUUCCUCUUUCUUAUUACAGUUGACAGAUUUUUCUUCCUGCUGCCUAGAUUCUGUUUAGGAUCAUAUUUUUGUAAUUGGUCAGUCUUUGUCUUAUACCGCCUUCUUUAUUGUUUCAGUGGUCCCACUUGGGUUCAUUGUCUGCAACUGCUUAAUUUCCUGGUCUGAAAACAGCAUGACCUGCAUUGUUUCUACUCCCUUUUUCUACUUCCUCUUGGGCUUUUGAAAGAUCAUAGCCUUUUCUUCCCUCACUGGGAGUACAUUGAGGAGGCUCUGGAUCUCAGUCCAGGUAGGGUCCUAGGUCUGAAAGAUUGCUUUAAUCAGAUUGAGGAACCCUUUGGAUCUUCCCUCAGCCCCUUACUAUGACUCUUCUAGUUAUACAGAUCAGAAAUGGUCAGUAGGACCUGUACCUCGAUGAGCCCUCCUUCUCCAUCUGGGACCUGCUGGAAUGGAGUAUUCCCAUUAUAUAUAUAAGGGGGUAUUUUCUGGUAGGUUGUUGGACCCUGGCUGGUAAUUAGUCCUGCUUCAUGUACUUACUUGACUGGGUUCUAGGAGAGAGGGGUUAGUCUGGACAGGACCCCUUGGGCUGUGGCCAAAAUCAGUAGGUAUUGUGGAAGGGGCUAUGAAGGGAGCAGUAGUAGGAGGGUUAGGGAGGAGAUCCCGAAAGCCCUUAGGUGUGAGUCAAAGACUGGUAGAAGGCUUAGUCUCCUGUGCUCUUAUCAGUGAAGGCAAGCCCACAUCUCUUUCAAAAGCUUAUAUAGAUGAAAACUAUUGCAUUUGGAAUGGAUAUGCAAUGAGCUCCUGCUAUAUGGCACUGGGAACUAUGUCUAGUCACUUGUGAUGGAGCAUGAUGGAGAAUAAUGUGUAGAAAAGAAUGAAUAUAUGUAUGUGUGUCUGGAUCCCUUUGCUGUACAGUAGAAAAUUGACAGA
rnacentral:lncRNA from 1 species